AGAGAAUAUAAUUAUAGAAAAGGUCUUGAGAGGUAGAAGGGUUAGGAUUCACAGUAUAAGGGAGGUUAGUUUUUGAUAGGAGGGGACAUAGAAUGGCAAUGGAGGGAACGCAGAAUUGCAGAUAGGCUGAUAGAUUUGUGGUAGAAAGAUAAGGAUGUUACUAGGUGAAUAGUUCUAUUUACCAAGAUGACAUAAAAUUCAACAUAUGGAGUGGGAAGGGAGUAUAGGUUGGAGGAGGAGUAAGUAGUUGGAAAGGGGGAAAGUGAACUCUAUAUAUACACACAGACAUAGCCAUACACAUAUACAUAAACACAUAGUGGGUAUUUGUGUGUAUGUUAAUACAUCAUAGGAAAAAGACCUAGUAUAUAAAAUAUUUUAAAGCCAUUCUUACUGAAUAUUUUUGACACAUCUUAUUAGAAGGACCUGAAAAAAUUCUGUGAGUUUCAAGGACUCUCGUAAUAGAGUUCUCUUUUCCUAAUGUAGAGAUUGAGGAUUUCUCAAUGACAUAGACAUUCCACAUGUUUUGUUAUUUUUGUCUCUUAUAGAGUAAAAGGCAGAAAUAUUUUGUUACUAUUCUAGUUCAAAGCCUAUGAAAAUUAAAAUUAGUUUAAUCUUGAAAGAUGUGUAUGUAUACUCAAGCUGGAGAUUUCCUCAAAUUACCAUUUUGGAGGGUUUUAAGCCCCCCAUUGAAUUAAAAAAGAAAAAAAAAGGCAAAUAGGCUCUAAUCAUUUAGUAAAACAAUACUUUUGUUUUCAUAUGAAAAACAUCAGUACCAUCUGUCAUUUAGGAGAAACACAUGGGCAAUAAAUAUGGUUCUUUUGUUCAUUGUGACCUCCCCUAUCCUAUUGGAAGGAUAUGAUCUCUUAAUUGUGCUUGGAUCUUUAUUUCUGGAUAGGCUGUAUGUAAUUCAAUGUGUUGAACUUAUAGGUGCAUAUGGGUUUGAUGUAAAAUUAGAUUGUGAAUAAUGGAAUAAGAUUGCUCUCCUUUUUUUUUUUUGCUGUUUUAGCAUAGACAAAAAUAUAAAGAUAUAUGUGUACAUAUAAAUAUGUAUUUGGUUAAACACUUAAUAUUUAAAUGGCCAUGUCAAAUAUUAAAUGGUAGAUGUCAACAGUUGCAGUGUAUUCAAAAUAAAAGUUAUAAAAAUCUUUGUAGCACAAAUCCUAAAAAGUUUAUUAAUUUAAUACUAAAUAGUACAUUUAUAUAAAAUACCAGAUAACAUUUGUCUAGGUUGAGACAUUUAAUUCCUCAUAAAGCAAUUAUUUGACUCAUGAAAAACUGCAGCUGAAGUCAUUUCUCCUUCCUAUAAGAGUGAAUAUGGUUUUUAAAAUGUAUCUCUCUGUAACCUAUCAUAAAGUUAGUUAUCAUUAAUUAUGGAUUUAGCAGUGUACCCAUCUACUCUUACAAAAGGAGGAAAAGAUCUGUGAGAAUAAGGAAGUGCAGCACUAUAGUUUUUUUCUCUUUGUUAUUACUGUUUCUCUUUGGUAUCUAUAUAGAACUUCAAUAUAUGCCUUCCACUCAGGUUCCUUACACAGACUAUGUUCUCUUUUCUGGUUGUAUAACAAGAUAAUAGAGAGAUAAACACAGUAAAAGGGUGUUAAAAAUUGAACUGCAAUCCUACCUAUUAUCUACUUUGCUAUAGCAGUGAAGUAGGCCAGACUUACUAAAGGUGGUAUUGUUGUCAUCUUAUAAAAAUCUACUGUAAUAUUAUGAUGUUCCAUGUAAAUUUUCAUGUGCUGGCAUGCUUACAAGUUAAUAGUGUUAUAGAAUGCUCAGCUCUCAAUGAGGGAUUGUUUGUGGUGAAUUGCAUUACAUAUGUCAUCUAUUUGCUGAAAGAAUAUGGUGUUUAGCAAAACUACCUGCUGAGCAACAUAGUAACAUUUUUGUACAAAGUACAAAUUACUAAUUAUUGUAUUUUAUUUUUCUAUGAUUUCCUAAGAGGCAUUACCAGGGUCUUACAGAUGGAGUAAGCCUGUUUAUUAAAAUAUCUAUUAGCAAAUAAAAGUUACAGUUCUGGUGGUU
rnacentral:lncRNA from 1 species